CCUUUCUCGCUUCAUCCGCGGUCCCUGUCUGUUUUCGUUAUGGCGCCUUGUACUUCUACCCAACGUUGCCCGCCCCCCAUCUUCCCAGCCCACCAGCUCCGUCCGCCUCUCCGGAUGAUUCGUGAGAUACCGAGCCUGCCGGGAAGGGACCGGAUUUUUCCGUCUGGUCCAAGGAAGCACGGGUUAUGGCCACAUGCGCAGUGAUAACUCAGGGCCCCACGCCUUUUGACCCGUGAGUGUUGUAGGCUUGGGGGUGACGGGAUCUGGUAAGAGCAUUUGUGCCUUUACUGGAUUACGUGCUUGGGUGCAGUAACCUUAUUAGGAUGACGCCAAUGGAAGGGCCUGUGACCAUUACCUCCGAGCGACCUUUUUGUGAUUAACCUCGCUCCUAUGUUGGGUGGAAUUUGGGUCCUACCACGUGCUAGGCGAUCGCUAUGUCAACCAUAGUAUUAAAGCCUUAAAAAAAAAAAAGUCAGGAUAAUGGGCCCUACAGAGUUGGGCAAGGAUUAUACAACCUCGGCUUUCUCGCUUUCUGAUUGCAAAAAGCCGCCAUUUUAUUCAGCUAAACCUGAUGUCCACAGCGCGUUAAAAAGCGUUUGUAGGCGGUAGGGUCAUUAAUUUGAGACUGCUUUGGGUUAUAGUCAGGAACCUAUCCCAAUGUCUAAAGCUUCACGUAUUGAACUAGGAGCCAUCGGAGCCCACAGGAUUGCCUUUUCAGGCGUCUCUCUAGUAGGCAGUGGUGAGGCAUGUGGCUUGUGGGUUUGAGGUCUAGCAAUUGCUAUCGCUGUCUGUGGCCCUUAUCGAAGCUGCAGCAGCUUCUACAUAGCUGCUGUGGUCAAAAAGGUGGCCCAGAGAAAGAAUUUUCCUUGACGGUCGCAGUUCUGUUUCCUGUAACUGAUCUGCAACAUUGUGGAAAAUGACAGCUUCACCUUACUAUUUCUCUGGAGUAUGUAGCAAUCUUUAGGCUUUUAUUCCUGGGGGGGGUGGGAGGGGAUAGGAGGUAGACCGGUGAGUGAGCUCAAUCUGAUUUACAAUUCAGGCCUGUAUUGAUCAUCUAUUGGUAAAUAAACAAUGCCUUGGUCACUGUCACAGUCCCUAUAAGGUAAUGACUGGGAAUAUGGAACAAGAUUAUUGUGGCUAAUUCUGUUGCCAUUCAUCUUAGCUGUUGAUGAAGAUUGUGAGGAGGGAGACCAGAAGAUAAUGGACAACGAUACAGCAGAAGGGUCUGGUAAGCUCCGUUUAGUUGCACUACCCGGGGAGACCUGAGGCAUGUUUCCAAGGGCUGUGGCUGCCUGUAGCCAUGGGAUCUCCAACUGCAUGCCAGAGUAAUGGAGAGACUUUGACAGCUCAGGUCAGCACAGUGCCUGCAGCUGCCACUCAUCUUUCCUAUAUAUGUAUAUCAGGCCUCAAGUUGAGCGCCCUCUACCUGUGAGGCUAUUGUUCUGUGGUAUUUACAACAAAUGUUUCUUCUGCAGGUUACACUUGAGCUUAUUUCUUGGAAGAGUCUGAGAAGACGGCCUGUCAGGCUCCUAACACUAAGGUAAUUGCUGGCUAAGACAGCCUGACCCUCCGGUUUCCCUUUCCCAUCGGAUCUUGACGCUGGUCUUGGUGGUCGUUAAGGAGGAAGAGCACCCUGAAGCUGGCCUCACAGCGAUGCAGUCUGCUGUAGAGCAGCAGGCCAGACUCAGACAUGCCUGGGCUUUGAAGUGGGAAAACUUGAGAACUGAUCAGUAUUGCUGAGUAAUGGCUUACUUUCAUGGUUUUUUUUUUUUAAGGGCCAUGUAACCAGUGAAGCAGCCAUUAUAUAUGAUUUGGUCUACACUUGUUGGAAAAAUUCCACAAGAGGAUCUCCUGGAAGCUAGCAGAAGUUUUUGGCUUGUACAUUGCCAGGCAGCCAUUGGAAUCGGAGCUGCAGUCAGAUUAAGGCCAGCCUGGCCUACAUUGAGAAACCUCAUUUUGGGAAAGUGAAAUACUUUGUCAAUUAACAUGCAGUUGGUUCAAUAAAGACUUUUGGAAAGUGUCCUCUUUUUUA
rnacentral:lncRNA from 1 species